ensembl:snoRNA SNORA75 Small nucleolar RNA SNORA75
GUCUUCUCAUGAGCUCCUCUCUGCCAGUCAGUGGCGGUGGAUGGAUUCGCAAGAGAAGUAGACUAACGUCACAAUUAAACAGGGACCUCUUUCUUUGGUUGGAGUUGCCCAUGUCUGAUGUGGAACAUGC